rnacentral:rRNA from 1 species
AUGCUUCAGUGCAACUCCGGCGGCCACCGGCGAAGCUCCAUUGCAGCAGUGGUGGCCCCCGGCGAAGCUCAUUGUAGCACUGGACGGCUCUCGACGGAGCUUCAUUGCAGCACCGCCACUGGAAUGGUGGUGCUCUACCGCAGCACCCCGACGACCGCCGCAGCGCUUCACUGCAGCUUCCACGUCUUCAUUGCAACCUCGCCGGAGCUCCGACGACCGGCGCUUCACUGCAGCUUCGACGGUGCUUCGUUGCAACCUCGCCGGAGCUCCGACGACCGCCGCGGCGCUUCACUGCAGUUUCGACGACGCUUCAUUACAACCUCGCCGCACCCGAUGGGAGCCGGCGAAGCUUCACUGCAGCACAACGCGACGGCGGCGAGGUGCUGCGACGAAUCAGGCGGUGGCGACGAAGAUAUUGCGACGCAGCACGCGGUGCCGCCGGAGCCCGAUGUUGCCCUGCUCCUCUCCUCAGCUUCCCGAUUGUAG